rnacentral:rRNA from 1 species
AGAAAAUAGAUACCCAGGUAGUCCAUGCUGUAAACGAUGGAUGCUAGCUGUGAUGCGUAUCGACCCGCGUCGUAGCGAAGCUAACGCGUUAAGCAUCCCGCCUGUGGAGUACGGCCGCAAGGCUAAAACAUAAAGGAAUUGACGGGGACCCGCACAAGCGGUGGAGCGUGUUGUUUAAUUCGAUGGUAAGCGAAGAACCUUACCCAGGUUUGACAUCCUUGGAAGUUCUGCGAAAGCAGAGUGUGCCUUCGGGAACCAAGUGACAGGUGAUGCAUGGCCGUCUUCAGCUCGUGUCGUGAGACGUUAGGUUAAGUCCUUCAACGAGCGCAGCCCUUAUAGUUAGUUGUAUUUUUCUAGCUAGACUGCCCUGGUAACAGGGAGGAAGGAGGGGACGAUGUCAGGUCAGUAUCUCCCUUAUAUCUGGGGCUAC